rnacentral:rRNA from 1 species
UACGAAGGGGGCUAGCGUUGCUCGGAAUCACUGGGCGUAAAGGGUGCGUAGGCGGGUUUUUAAGUCAGGGGUGAAAUCCUGGAGCUCAACUCCAGAACUGCCUUUGAUACUGAAAAUCUUGAGUCCGGGAGAGGUGAGUGGAACUGCGAGUGUAGAGGUGAAAUUCGUAGAUAUUCGCAAGAACACCAGUGGCGAAGGCGGCUCACUGGCCCAUAACUGACGCUGAGGCACGAAAGCGUGGGGAGCAAACAGG